GGCUGCGGAAGGACCACGUGGCGUGCUCAGAUCGGCGGCAACGAGGACCGGGGGAGCAGCGCUGGUGGAGCGUUUGCCUGGCAGGCCCGGGACUGGGUUCCAUUCCCAGCACGGAAAAGAAAAAGAAAUGGGUGUCUUACAGAAGACGUAGGUUAUAGGAAGCAAGGGGAUCGAUGUUUUGGGAAACGGACAUAAAAAAGGUGUGCUCUACAGGGCUGGGGACAUAGCUCAGUGACACAAGUGCCUCCCUGGCAAGCAUAAGGUCCUGAGGUCAAUUUCUGGUACCCAAAAAAGGAAAAAAAAAAGAUGCGCCGUAUGCCCAGCCCCCCAGGGCGGUGACUCCUCGUACUGAGCACUGCGGACAGGUGCUAUAGAAGCAAGUGAGGAGGAUGCGUGCUUUUCCGAGCCGCGGUCUGGAAGUUUGGAGUCCAGGUUUCUCCGUCACAAAGCGAGAGCCGGGCUUUCCGCUUCUCGCUUCUGGGCAGCUGCACCAGCAGACCCGCCCUGCAGCCGGGCUCCCCGCACCCCACUAGCGGCAGCGCGGGCCACGCCCUCUCCACUGUAGGGGCGUGGCAGCCCCGCCCCUGCGCUAGGCCUGGGGGCCUGGGGUGGGGGGAGGGAUCGCUGCCCGCGUGGAGACCCCUAGAAGACCCCGAAGCAGAAGAAAUCCCGCGUUCCAGGCAGGGUGGGAGGCCACGGUCUCAGGUACCCAAACCUGGAGCCUGGGGUGCGCUGUGGAUGGAGGGGGCCUGGCCGGCCGGCGGAGUAACAAAGUAACAGUCAGGAUCACAACAACAGAGCUUGUUUAUCUCAGUCUGGCUCCUGCAGGGCGCAGGGGGCAGGGUCCUCUCCCCCGGCCAGGUCAGCGAGCGGGUCCGUCCUGCCUGAUGCGCGCCGCGCUGUGUGCCGUCUCUACCCUCUCGGGUUCUCAUCUGCGAAGCAGCCCUGCCUGCAGCGGAGGCCAAGAGAAGGCUCCGGGGUCAGCCCUGCGCCCGGUCCCUGCCCCUCUGGCCUCUUCCAUCUCACGGUCCCUUUCCAGCGCCUCCAAAUUCCACGCCCUCAGAAUCCUGCGCCUGGCUCUCCCUGACACCUGCUGGUAGCCUCGGGAUGUCCCCGAUCAGGAGUGGUAAGCCCCAAACCGGGGCCUUCCUGCCAACGUCCGAGACUCAGAGAGAAGGUGACUCUGGUCUCACGGUCUGGAAAGACCCGCUGAGGAUGAGGAGGGUCGCCCUGGGUCUGGAGGCAGCCACGCAGAACCGGGCACAUAGUACCUGUGAGGAGCCUCAGGAGGCCCGCACAGGUGGGACAGGAUGCCGGACCCCAUUUUACAGGGAGAAACUCUGUCUCCCCCAGGGCUGUGGUCAGGACAGAGGCUUUGCAGGUCCCAGUGUGGCAGCUGGUAAGCACAGAGUGGGCACCGGGAGCGGUAGGUUAGGAAUGGUUCAUCACAGCCCUUGGGCAGGCCGAGGCAGGAGGGUCACAGGUUCAAGCCCAGCCUGGACAGUUUAGCGACUUAGCGAGACCCUGUAAAAGGGUGGGCCCGGGCUGGGGAUGUGGCUCCCUGCUGAACUUGGGAGGGCAGGGAAGGGCUGUGUGGCCUGUGGCAUCCAGGCUGCGUGACAGCUGCUGACAAUGCCUAGUCCCCAGAGUGACCAAAACGGGGUGAAGUGAGGCCAGUGGCCCAGGCUCAGUGUCCUGUACACUGUGGGAUACAGCAGAGUUCUGGGUCCCCAGUGGUUGGCAUCAGCCACUUUUCUCAGCCUCAGGGAUCCCUUUGGGGACAGGACUCUGUGGUGCUGAUUUUCAUUUGUGGAGACAGUACUGUGCUAAGUUGCCCAGACUGGCUUCAAACCUGGGACUCCUUGCCUAUGCGCCCAGGCUCCUGCCCAGAGCCUGACACCCUGAGGCUCUGACCCCACCCCCUGCACUGACUAGCCACAGAUCCCGCCCAGCCCACACUGGGCCACCCGCCUCCCCCAGCCUGGCCCUCUCCACUGAGGGGAUUCCUACUCCCUGCUCAGACCAGAGCUCUGGGAGCUGCCUCCUGGGGGAUGGUGUGGUGUCUCCCCAGCCCUUUGUUAAGUUUCCUGUUGAGGUUCCUUGGAAUCCUCCUGCCUCAGCCUCUCAGAGUUCUGGGACCACAGCCCCGAACCCAUCCUUGA